UACGAAGGGGGCUAGCGUUGCUCGGAAUCACUGGGCGUAAAGCGCACGUAGGCGGAUUGCUAAGUCAGGGGUGAAAUCCUGGAGCUCAACUCCAGAACUGCCUUUGAUACUGGUGGACUAGAGUCCGGAAGAGGCGAGUGGAAUUCCCGGUGUAGCGGUGAAAUGCGCAGAUAUCGGGAGGAACACCGGUGGCGAAGGCGGGUCUCUGGGCCGGAACUGACGCUAAGGAGCGAAAGCGUGGGGAGCGAACAGG
rnacentral:rRNA from 1 species